rnacentral:lncRNA from 1 species
CACCCUUUCUUCCUGAUGAAAUCCAUCUUGUUUAAGAAGACUGGAGCUUAGAAUAACUGUCUCCUGAGAGGUUUCAUCUAGUAGCUGAUGGAAACAGAUGCAGAGACCCACAGCCAAACAUCAGGUGGAGCUUGGGGAGUCUUGUGUAAGAGUUGGGAAGAGGACUGAGCAAGCUGAAGGGGUCAAGAAUACUGCAAGAAGGCAUACAGACUCAACAAACCU